UUUGACCUCAAAUCAGGUAGGACUACCCGCUGAACUUAAGCAUAUCAAUAAGCGGAGGAAAAGAAACUAACAAGGAUUCCCCUAGUAACGGCGAGUGAAGAGGGAAGAGCUCAAAUUUGAAAUCUGGCAGUCUACGGCUGUCCGAGUUGUAAUCUAGAGAAGUGUUUUCCGUGCUGGACCGUGUACAAGUCCUUUGGAACAAGGCGUCAUAGAGGGUGAGAAUCCCGUCUACGACACGGACUACCAGUGCUCUGUGAUACACUCUCAACGAGUCGAGUUGUUUGGGAAUGCAGCUCAAAAUGGGUGGUAAAUUCCAUCUAAAGCUAAAUACAGGCGAAAGACCGAUAGCGAACAAGUACCGUGAGGGAAAGAUGAAAAGCACUUUGGAAAGAGAGUUAAACAGUACGUGAAAUUGUUGAAAGGGAAACGCUUGAAGUCAGUCGCGUCUUCAGAAACUCAGCCGGGCUUYUGCCCGGUGUACUUUUCUGUUGGACGGGCCAGCAUCGGUUUCGGCCACCAGAAAAAGGUGGGAGGAAGGUGGCACCUCCGGGUGUGUUAUAGCCUCUCAUCGUAUGUGGUGGCUGGGACCGAGGACCGCAGCACGCCUUCAAUGGCCGGGGUUCGCCCACGUAACGUGCUUAGGAUGCUGGCGUAAUGGCUUUAAGCGACCCGUCUUGAAACACGGACCAAGGAGUCUAACAUGCCUGCGAGUAUUUGGGUGGUAAACCCAUAUGCGGAAUGAAAGUGAACAGUUGGGACUUCUAUCAUGGAAGGCACCGACGCCCGGACCAGACCUUCUGUGACGGAUCCGAGGUAGAGCAUGUAUGUUGGGACCCGAAAGAUGGUGAACUAUGCCUGAGUAGGGUGAAGCCAGAGGAAACUCUGGUGGAGGCUCGUAGCGAUUCUGACGUGCAAAUCGAUCGUCGAACUUGGGUAUAGGGGCGAAAGACUAAUCGA
rnacentral:rRNA from 1 species